rnacentral:rRNA from 1 species
AGUGAACGCUGGCGGUAGGCCUAACACAUGCAAGUCGAACGGCAGCACAGUAAGAGCUUGCUCUUACGGGUGGCGAGUGGCGGACGGGUUAGGAAUACAUCGGAAUCUACUUUUUCGUUGGGGAUAACGUAGGGAAACUUACGCUAAUACCGCAUACGACCUACGGGUGAAAGCAUGGGAUCUUCGGACCUUUCGCGAUUGAAUGAUCCGAUGUCGGGUUAGCUAGUUGGCGGGGUAAAGGCCCACCACGGCGACGAUCCGUAGCUGGUCUGAGAGGAUGAUCAGCCACACUGGAACUGAGACACGGUCCAGACUCAUACGGGAGGCAGCAGUGGGGAAUAUUGGACAAUGGGCGCAAGCCUGAUCCAGCCAUACCGAGUGGGUGAAGAAGGCCUUCGGGUUGUAAAGCCCUUUUGUUGGGAAAGAAAAGCAGCAGGUUAAUACCCCGCUGUUCUGACGGUACCCAAAGAAUAAGCACCGGCUAACUUCGUG